rnacentral:rRNA from 1 species
UACGUAGGGUGCGAGCGUUUGUCCGGAAUUACUGGGCGUAAAGAGCUCGUAGGUGGUUUGUCGCGUUUGUCCGUGAAAACUCACAACUCAAUUGUGGGCGUGCGGGCGAUACGGGCAGACUGGAGUACUGCAGGGGGAGACUGGAAUUCCUGGUGUAGCGGUGGAAUGCGCAGAUAUCAGGAGGAACACCGGUGGCGAAGGCGGGGUCUCUGGGCAGUAACUGACGCUGGAGGAGCGAAAAGCGUGGGGAGCGAACAGGG